ACCCGGCAGGCUUAGUCAGUAGAGCCUGUGGCUCUUGAUCUCAGGGCUGUGAGUUCAAGCCCCAUGUUGGGUG
rnacentral:tRNA from 1 species